rnacentral:tRNA from 1 species
GGAGAGAUGCUCGAGUGGUUGAAGAGGCACGCCUGGAAAGCGUGUAUACGCCAAAAAGUGUAUCGCGGGUUCGAAUCCCGCUCUCUCCG